GUUUAUUACCACCAAUAAAUCUUUCAUCAAAUUGUCCUGCAUUUAAAUAUGCCUAAGAAAAAAAUCAACUCAAUGUCAUCUUACCAAAGUGAGGAACCAACAUCUGCUACUAGUUGUUUUGAUUCAAACUGCCUGCUUGCAUCUACAAUCUUUACUCUCCUGGAUGUGGAGGCCUCGGAGUCCUGCAGGGGUGAGCAGCCAGGAGAAGGUGCAGCAGAGCCCAGAAUCCCUCAUUGUCCCAGAGGGAUCCAUAGCUUCUCUCAACUGCACUUAUAGUGAUCCUAAUUUUCUGUACUUCUGGUGGUACAGACAGCAUUCUGGGGAAGGCCCCAAAGCCCUGAUGUCCAUCUUCUCUAACGGUGAAAAGAAAGAAGGCAGAUUCACAGCUCACUUCAGCAAAGCCAGCCUGCAUGUUUCCCUGCACAUUAGAGACUCCAAACCCAGUGACUCUGCUCUCUACUUCUGUGCAGCGAGUGAGCGCACAGUGCUCUCCAGGCACCUGCAGCCUGCACCCAAACCUACCCUGCCUUGCUAAGAUCUAACAGAGAGCACAGACCACACAGAGAAGAAACUCUAUUUCUAUUCUGCAUAUGUGCAAGUGUUAUAAAGAGGAGUUGAUUGGUAAAAUAGUUGAACAACUUAAAAAUAAGUGAUCAUUAAGGGAAAGGCAAAUUACUGGUUUCGUUGAAUAUUUUCCA